rnacentral:misc_RNA from 1 species
AGCUAGAAAAUCUAAUUGCAUUACGAAAUACAAAACAUAAGUUAAAUUAUUUUUCGUAAACACUUACUCUAUAUAUUGAUGACAGAUUGUAGUGAACUUAAUUUGAAAGAAAUCUUGAUGGUUUUGCACAUGGAAACAAAAUUGAUAGAUGAAUUUCAGAGAUUUAAAAGCAGCUUUGUGAAUCUAAAAAUGGUUAAUUGGAAUUCUUGUUAAGAUUGUUAUGAAUCUUUAGGAAACAUCUGCGGAGUUAAAAUAUUUCAGCUAUUGCCACACCAUAAAUGGAUUGUAUGUGCCCAAUGCCACUUUCUAAUAAUAUGAAUAUGAUGAUCUGAAAGUGUACUGCUUCACAAAAGCAUCAGAUAAAGCCAACCUGUGGAUGGAGAAAAAAUGAAUGAGAAAAUAAACAAAGCUUCCAUCUAUAGGUCUAAAAGCACUUUCAACUUCUAAUUCAUUAGAGGGAAACUAGAAAAACCUUAGUCUUUUGUUUCAGAACUUAUUAAACUCUAUUCCAAAUGUUAUUUCUGUCACUGCAGAUUCACAGACUGCCAUCCUAGGAUAUCAAUUACACUACCACUUAUCAGUGGACAUCUUCUGUAGACUCUUACCCUAUCACUUAUCAAUCGACUUCUUCUGUAGACCUUCUUUG